rnacentral:misc_RNA from 1 species
UCAAACUUGGUCAUUUAGAGGAAGUAAAAGUCGUAACAAGGUCUCCGUUGGUGAACCAGCGGAGGGAUCAUUACUGAGUUCUCGAACUCCCAACCACUGUGAACAUACCACUGUUGCUUCGGCGGGCUACCGGUUCGCCGGGACCCCCGCCGGAGACACCACAAACUCUUGUAUUCUAAGGAAUCUUCUGAGUCGUCUUACAAAUAAGAAUUAAAACUUUCAGCAACGGAUCUCUUGGCUCUGGCAUCGAUGAAGAACGCAGC